UCAUUGAAAAAGUCAGUACUUUUUCGUUUGAGCCCAUCUCUCAAAUGCGUAUUCUUUCUGAUGUGUGGUGUCAAAAAUAAAUGUGUAAAUGUUAUUGUCUUGUAUAUAUACCAUGUUGAUAAUGUAUCGUCAUCGUAGCCCAUCACUGACUGACACAGGCUUUUAUUUUCAAAGGUGAGUGGCAGACUUGCGCUCUCUACACAGAAUCUCUCGCGACCAAUCUUAACAAGCGCGCGAGGCCGGAGAGACGCAUGCGUCAACAUGAGGAGGAGGAGGACUACUUUAACGCUUCGAACACACCGAAUGCUAUUUGCAUCAACGCUGCAUAACAUUUUGCGCGGCUAUGCAACUAUACUGAUGCAGGUAUCUUUUGCAGACGACCGCAUGCGUUGGACACAUGGAGGAGAGAAUCCUGUUCAGUAUCCUCAAAACCGUGUCUUUUUGACACAACUGCUGACAGCUACAGGGACAUAACCACAAAAAAUGCUGCUUGGAGACAAGUGUCCACGAUAGUACCAUUGCCCGGUCAGUUUAGUAGUGAGCUUGUGCUAUAUGUGGCUAGUUAGCUAGCUAGCUAGCCUAGCCAAUUUUGUGUGUGUGUGUGUGUGUGUGUGUGAGACAAAGAAAUAGUAAUAUAAAUGAUGCUGGUUACUACCCCUGAUAACUUGCCCAAAUAAUCAUGCUUGAAAGAGUGUGAGUGUGUAUGUCAUGUAAAUAGAAAUGGUAGAUACUACUGUACCCCUAAUAAUUUGGUCAGAUAACCGUGUGUGUCUGUGUGUAUAGUAGGUGACAUGUUAAUGAUAGCUAUCUAAUAACUAUAGUUAUGCUAGGUGAUGGUUUGGCUUAUCAUGUUCAUGUCUAUGUAGAAGAAGACUGUAGGAGGAAGUGGAGAGGACUGAGGGACAGGUAUCAGGGAGAGAGAAGGGCAGAGAAAGAGAAGAGGUCUGGGUCAGCAGCUUCAGGCCAGCAGCCUUGGCGCUUCUUCCACAUUCUUUCUUUUCUGGAUCCAUUUAUUGUGCCUAGGACAACAAGUGGCCAUUUUACAGCCAGACCCUUUACGUCAUCCACAAGUGUGGGCGCCACCGGUGCAUCAAGACUCUCUACGUCAUUAACAAGUGAGACCCUCUACAUCAUCCACAAAUAUGACCACCACCGGUGCAGCCAUGGAAGAUGAUGAAAUGGAGGAAGCACCUCUGGAUCUAUGACCACCUGAGAUUAUUAAGACCCUCACGGGAAGUGACCACUGAGGACCUUGUUGAACAGGAUGUGGCCGUGGAGAGAAACCAAGAGGACCAACGUCACACCAGGCGCCAUCGGCGGUACCAGCCCCCAGAUCCACUCAACUCAUUUCAGCAGAGGCUCCUCCAAGCCAUCGAGAGGGAUGCAGCCCAACCUGAUGCUCACAGGAAGGAGGAUGAAGAAACCUUCUUUGCCAUGAUUCUGGUGUUAACCCUGAAGAGGCUGCCUCAGCAAAGAAAAGGAGGAUGAAGAAACCUUCUUUGCCAUGAUUCUGGUGUUAAUCCUGAAGAGGCUGCCUCAGCAAAGAAAAGGAGGAUGAAGAAACCUUCUUUGCCAUGAUUCUGGUGUUAACCCUGAAGGGGCUGCCUCAGCAAAGAGAAGGAGGAUGAAGAGACCCUCUUUACCAUGAUUCUGGUGUUAACCCUGAAGAGGCUGCCUCAGUAAAGAAAAGCAGCAUUCAAGGUUAAAAUUCAUCAGCUGCUUUUCUAUGCCAAGUUCAAUGGAGAUGGAGUCAAUUUAGCGGACCAGCUCAUAGGAAGGACAGGAAGAGGAGAUUGUCUGGUUGUUGUUUUGACCUUCUCCUCCAUGGGUUUUGAGCGGGAGGUAAGGAAAGGAUGCGAGGAAUCAAGGAACUGCAACUGAGAUUUUCCCACUGUCCUCAACUGAGAUUUUGUAACUGUUCUUAUUGCGCUUACUAUGUCCUUGUUAGUAGUUUCUCAAUACUUAGGAUAGCAUUCAUUAUUAGUUGUACAUAGAUUGCAUGAAAAUUGACUGAAUUGAAACGGACACACCAGAGAAUUCAGAUGCUCUUGUUGUUCUUUUACAAGACUAAAGGUGAAAUAUGUGUUUACCUGUAUUGUGGCUCCACAUUCACUUUUAGUUUUCAGACACACACACCUCCUCCACUCAUCUAUGUACCUCAGAUCUCCAGUGCCCUGCCCUCUCUCUUUAUGGCCAUGUCUGAAGUUCCCCUACUAUGUCUAGGCUUUAUGAGUAGUCCCUGUAUCUGUCUGCAGUUAUGCAAAAAAUACAUGCUCUUGUUCUCUUACAGAUUACACAUUCAUUUUUAUAUUUUUACAGGCACAUACAGUACACACACACCUCUCAAUAGUUUUUAUUUUUUGUAAUGUUUUUACAACACAUACCUGUCAUGUUCUUUCCUGUACUUGAAUACUUAUUAAAUUAUGUUUUCAUUGUCA